GGAGGGUUGGCAGAGCGGUAAUGCAGCAGAUUGCUAAUCUGUGACCGGAAUCUUCGGUCCAGAGGUUCGAAUCCUCUACCCUCCGCCA
rnacentral:tRNA from 1 species